GACGUCCGGGCUUCGGCUCCGCGGAGAGCGAGGCUGCUCGAAUGCGAGCGAGCCAGCGGGGCUGUGCGUGCGCGCGUGAGAGAUACAGCCUGAAGGACAAAGCUGUUGAGUUCUAGAAAGAGAUAACUUAAAUGUGCGUGAGACAGAGAUGAGGAAGAAUCUGCCAAGCACUAGGAAACAAUACUAAAUGAGCACCGUGAGGAAACCGCAAAGUAGUUUCUACUUUAUCAGGAUUUUCAAUUCCAGCCAUGUGGCUGACAGGGUUUUGGUGCUCCGGCCAGGUGUCAGGCCUGAGCCUCAGAGGUGGGAGAGCUGAACUCAGGAUAUUGGACUAACAAAGACAUCCCAUCCCUACGUAAUAUCAAUCGGUGAGAACUCUCCCAGAGAUCUCUGUCUCAACACUAAGACCCAGCUACACUCACUGACAAGCAAGCUCAAGUGCUGGACACCCCAUGCCAAACAACUAGCAAGACAGGAACACAACCCCACCUAUUAGCAGAGAGGUUGCCAGAAAUCAUAAUAAGGUCACAGACACCCCAAAACACACCACCAGACUCGGUCCAGCCCACCAGAAAGACAAGAUCCAUAUACAUCCACCAGAACACAGGCACAAGUCUCCUCCACCAGGAAGCCUACACAACCCACUGAACCAACCUCACCCACUAAGGGCAGACACCAAAAACAACGGGAACUAUGAACCUGCAGCCUGCAAAAAAGACACCCCAAACACAGUAAGUUAAGCAAAAUGAGAAGACAGAGAAAUAGACAACUGAUGAAGGAGCAAGUUAAGAACCGACCAGACCAAACAAAUGAAGAGGACAUAGGCAGUCUACCUGAAAAAGAAUUCAGAGUAAUUAGAGUAAACAUAAUCUAAAAUCUUGGAAAGAGAAUGGAGAACAUACAAGAAAUGUUUAACAAGGACCUAGAAGAACUAAAGAGGAAACAAACAAUGAUGAACAACACAAUAAAUGAAAUUUAAAAUUCUCUAGAAGGAAUCAAUAGCAGAAUAACUGAGGCAGAAGAAUGGAUAAGUGACCUGGAAGAUAAAAUAGUGGAAAUAACUAUGCAGAGCAGAAUAAAGAAAAAAGAAUGAAAAGAAUUGAGGACAGUCUCAGAGACCUCUGGGACAACAUUAAAUGCACCAACAUCGAAUUAUAGGGGUCCCAGAAGAAGAAGAGAAAAAGAAAGGGACUGAGAAAAUAUGUGAAGUGAUUAUACUUGAAACCUUCCUUAUAUGGGCAAGGAAAUAGUCAAUCAAGUUCAGGAAGCACAGAGAGUCUCAUGCAGGAUAAAACCAAGGAGAAACAUGCCAAGACACAUAUUAAUCAAAGUAUCAAAAAUUAAAUACAAAGAAAAAAUAAUAAAAGCAGCAAGGGAAAAGCAACAAAUAAUAUUCAAGGGAAUUGC